AAACGAAAGGCUGGAGAUUACCAGGAUAAGUGCAUGGCGGCCGCCUCAGUGAUAGGGCCCCGUCACCCACCCCAUCCAUAUCACUAGCGACUCCUCAGCCUGGACCAAGCAUCUCUCCAGUCCAGGGGAGAAGGAGGUUAGAGGAUAAAAAAUGCACUGAAGAGAUAAAACCGACAGAACUCGGAGGGUGAUUGGGAAAGGAAGCGCUCAGAAGAUUGUGAUUCUAAGCCUGGAUAACUGGAAAGAUGAUAAUGUGAUUAGGGGCUGCCAACAGAAUUAGAUUUAUUGGGAAAGGGAUGAGGCGAGAGUUAGUCUGGGACACAGAGGACUUUGCGGUGCUUAAGGGUGAUGUCUAAAAGCCCAGGAUGUGUCCGACAGGCAGACCACACUGGGUGCCCGUGAAGCACAUGCUCUGAUCGGACAUUGCAGCUGCUCUUCAAAGAGCCUGAGGCUGACCCUUGGCCUUUAGGUCUCCUAGUCCGGCUACUUCCUGUUUAUCUUGUAAUAUUUAAGUAGUGAUUUUAUAAAGACUCUUUGUUAAGUGGGUGCUGGUGAUAGAGAUGAGAGAGACAAUUUCUGUCCUCAAGGAAUUCCAACCAAGGAUGGAAACAGGAAAGUAAAAUGCAGAGAUGGCGGUUUACAGAACAUCCCAAUCAGAAUGAAAUGCUAGAGAAAGGACUGCUAACACAGUUUACAUUCAAGCACAGUCUGGAAAGACAAGCAGGAAUUAGCUUUGUGCAGAUCUGUAAGCAUAUCCUAGGUCAUAGAAUAGUCUGUACAGAACCACAGAGGCACAGAAUAACUUGGUGCUUUCUAGAAACUACAAAUAAUUGAGGAGAGCCUUAGUGGAAUGUGAUGGAUUUCAACCAGCAAAGUGGCUUGUUUGUUUGUAACAGCUUAGCCUGUUUCAGUUUGCCUCUUAGAAAGUUCACUGGUUGAUUGGGUAAAAGGUAGAUUGGAAAGGAGCCCUGGAGGUCAGGAGAUCACCAUGAUGGGAGAGUUGUUGGGAUAAAAGUGGUAGUUGAAGCUGUGAGUGGACGAGAGCAUCCAGGAAGAAUGUGUGAAGCUAUAAAGGGAACAAGGAUAGCUUAAAUCUGGGGAUACCAUGAUUGAAGGGUGAGCAGAGCAACCCUCAAAGGAAACAGAAAAGAAUUAGGCAGGA